rnacentral:rRNA from 1 species
CCUACGUGAGGCAGCAGUGGGGAAUAUUGCGCAAUGGGCGAAAGCCUGACGCAGCGACGCCGCGUGAGGGAUGAAGGUCUUCGGAUCGUAAACCUCUGUCAGCAGGGAAGAACGGUCACUGUGCUAAUCAGCAGUGAAUUGACGGUACCUGCAAAGGAAGCACCGGCUAACGCCGUGCCAGCAGCCGCGGUAAUACGGAGGGUGCGCGCGUUAAUCGUAAUUACUGGGCGUAAAGCGCUCGUAGGCGGUAUGUCAAGUCAAGGGUGAAAUCCCCGCGCUCAACGUGGGAACUGCCUUUGAAACUGGCAAACUGGAGUGUGUGAGAGGAUAGUGGAAUUCCAGGUGUAGGAGUGAAAUCCGUAGAUAUCUGGAGGAACAUCAGUGGCGAAGGCGACUAUCUGGCACAUAACUGACGCUGAGGAGCGAAAGCGUGGGUAGCAAACAGGAUUAGAUACCCCUGUAGUC